UACGUAGGGACCAAGCGUUGUUCGGAUUUACUGGGCGUAAAGGGCGCGUAGGCGGCAAUUCAGGUCAGCUGUGAAAUCUCCGGGCUUAACUCGGAACGGUCAGCUGAUACUGCUUUGCUAGAGUGCAGAAGGGGCAAUCGGAAUUCUUGGUGUAGCGGUGAAAUGCGUAGAUAUCAAGAGGAACACCUGAGGUGAAGACGGGUUGCUGGGCUGACACUGACGCUGAGGCGCGAAAGCUAGGGUAGCAAACGGG
rnacentral:rRNA from 1 species